AUACGUAGGGGGCGAGCGUUGUCCGGAAUGAUUGGGCGUAAAGGGCGCGUAGGCGGCCGCUUAAGUCUGGAGUGAAAGUCCUGUUUUCAAGAUGGGAAUUGCUUUGGAUACUGGGGGGCUUGAGUGCAGGAGAGGUUAUCGGAAUUCCCGGUGUAGCGGUGAAAUGCGUAGAGAUCGGGAGGAACACCAGUGGCGAAGGCGGGUAACUGGACUGCAACUGACGCUGAGGCGCGAAAGUGUGGGGAGCAAACAGGAUUAGAUACCCUGGUAGUCCACACUGUAAACGAUGAAUGCUAGGUGUAAGAGGUAUCGACCCCUUUUGUGCCGGAGUCAACACAAUAAGCAUUCCGCCUGGGGAGUACGGCCGCAAGGUUGAAACCCAAAUGAAUUGACGGGG
rnacentral:rRNA from 1 species